rnacentral:lncRNA from 1 species
CAAAACAAGAAUACUAAUAACACUAUCAAUCUUCUCAUUUCUUGAUAAGAAUAUACAAAAAUAACACUAUCAACCUUCUCAUUUCUUGAUAACAAUAUACAAAAUUUAGCAAAACAAGAACACUAAUAACACUAUCAAUCUUCUCAUUUCUUGAUAAGAAUAUACAAAAUUUAACAAAGCAAGAACACUAAUAACACUAUCAAUCUUCUUAUUUCUUGAUAACAAUAUACAAAAUUUAGCAAAACAAGAACACUAAUAACACUAUCAAUCUUCUCAUUUCUUGAUAACAAUAUACAAAAUUUAGCAAAACAAGA